GAAGAGGAAUGAUAAAGGGUGGCCUGAGUGUGGGGUAAUUAUGGAAGAAGGGCCCUAUGAUGAGUUCGAGGAUAAGGCUUUCACUAGGCGUUGCCAGGCCUUGAUUGCUCUUUUCACUUUUGUGGUAUUGUUUACUGUGUUUUGCUUGAUUAUUUGGGGUGCCAGCAGGCCUUACAAAGCUGAAAUCCUGGUCAAGGUAUGCUAAUUUUAUCCAUUUCUUCAUUUUCUAAUCAUACUUAUGUUAAAAUAUCAGAAAAAGUGAGAAUAUUUAUACUCUCUAACACGUUUAGGUCUGUUUGGUUGAGAGGAAAAAAUGAAAAGAGUUAACGAAAAGUGGAAAGAAAAUAAAUCAAAAUCUCCAAGUUCAUUACUGUUGACAGUAACCUUAGAGCCGCAGAAACCAUGAGUUGCUCCACUCAUAUGCAAAUGCAAUAUGCAUAUUUUAUCACUUGUUUUAUAUGUUAGAGUUGAUUUGAUGAAGAAUGUGAGUCUCGCAGAGCUUUGCAGUGCACAACUUCUAUAUCGGGGAAGGUUCAGAUUUCUCAGGGGUACCAACAAAAUUGCUGACUGUCAAUGGCACCUUGAAGCUGAGUGUAUACAACCCUGCUACAAUAUUUGGUAUUCAUGUUACUUCCAAUCCCGUCAAUCUCGUAUACUCAGAAAUUCCC
rnacentral:lncRNA from 1 species